rnacentral:lncRNA from 7 species
AUCUUGGGUUGGAGAUUCCUCCCUUGUGGAGCUUCCCCCUGUGAGCCCAGGAUUGUCUGAUACAGGACAGUUACAGCUAAUGCCACCCAUUGGGACGGCUUUACGGCACCAUGAAUUCCUGUGGAGAGCGUUGAGGUUCUUGGAUCAGGAGGGCAAAGGGCUUAUAUUUACGAGGCACCUCCAUGCAGCAGUGAUGGUGCCCAUUGCACAUCAACAUUCACCUCCGUCUUCCAGGACUGCUUGGGAGCCUCAGCCUUGCUUUUUCCCCCUCUCUCGCUCCCCCUUUCCCUCUCCUCCUCCUUUCCCCAGCUCUGUAGCAGUUUCCUCGGGAGUGUUCAGCUAGCUGACACAUUUGCCACAGAUGGAUGGUGCACACGGAGACAGCUGUCACUCCUGAUUUGCGGUCCGCUGCGUGACAGCAGGACUGAUGCCUUCUGAAAGGCCGUCUCGCGGAGCACAUGCACUCUGACAUUCUUCGAGAUGAGCCCUACAGACACCUCUCAAUGGACCUCGGGAGAAGCUGGCAAGCUAACCCUUCCUGCUCCCCCCCCCCUCCCCGAAGCAGCCUGCAGGCUGGAAGAAAGCAAGCACUCUGGUGUGCGCACACACAUACACGCACACACGGCCAACCUCCUUGGGUAGUUCUGUGCCACCACUGGCCUGCCAGGUCCCAGCCCGGCUGUUUGCUCCUGAUGCUGGUGUAUGAAGUGAGGCAGGCUGAGAUUUGCGAGUGGGAAAGGUCAUCAGUGAAGCUGUUCUAUUUCCCCUUUUCCAUCUUUCUAAUUGCAGGAGGGAGGGAUGUGAGCUCUGCUUUCAUUCCGCCAGAGCAGCUGCCUCCAGUCUCUGGAGUUCCUCUCUUGCAGCAUAAACUGAUAGACUUUGCAGCACCAACCCCUCCGGGCCUCUGCCUUCUCCAUCACUCACAGUGCUCUCCAUCACUGAGGAUGGUUUCCAUCACCAAUGGUUGUCUCCAACACCUCUGUUCCACAUGGGAUGAGGUCACAGCAAUAUGGAAAUCCCUUUCCUUGGCUGAAGAUUUCCUCCCACCUCCCCCUAUGGUGCAGGCUGCCAUAAUGGGUCUGGCAUUUGCUAUGGAGGUUCCUCACACCACCCUGAGGCCAGCUGCAGACUCGAGGCACAGGCUGCCCAUGGAGGUGGUGGAAUCCCCAUCCCCAGAAGUGUUCAUGAACCGUGGAGAUGUGGCUCUGAGGGCCGUGGAUUGGUGGGUAUGGUUGGGGUGGGUCAAUAGUUGGACUGGAUGAUUGUAGUGGUCUUUUCCAACUUUAACGAUCCGUGACUGAAUGAUUCUAUGACUGUGUGAUUCUAAGCACUGGAAUACAAACGUCUACGUUUUCAACAUGGACAAUAACCUUCUGGUGGGAUUUUCAGCUGGACAGAGAGAAGCAGUGGAAAUAGUCUUCAGCUCUGGGUGGAAGGAUGCUUGACUUCCAGGUGUUGGACUUGGUGAGAAUGGGAGCUGGUCAUGCCUUUGGUACACAAGCAGAGAAAAGCUUUCCUUUGAAAAUAACCAGCUAUGCACAUCUGUUAAUUGCCCACCUGACUCGAGGGAGGUCGUGGCCAAGGGGAGCAGCCUUCCCAACAGCAAGUUGAAGCUGCACCUUGAGAAUAUCAUCUAGGCUCUUUGGGAACUGGCCUGAGACUUCCUCCCCCCACCUUGCUCAGCAGCUGAGCUCUAUGCCACAAGAACCCAGUGGUGCCUGCACAGGGUCACACACAAGACCAAAAGUCUUCUGAUAUAGUUCCUGGAUGGUGUUCAGUGACAGAAACCCAGGGGAGAGGAGAAGGGCAGAGUAAAUGUGUGUGAGGCUUCAUCUGGGUACUUCCCAAGCACCCAAACAGACUCAGCCUGGGGAAUUUCUGGACCAGACACGGCUCCUCUGUUUGCUAACUCUGGGUAAAGUUCUCAUCCCAGCAGUGCCUGGUGAGGUCUGCUCAGCCAUCCUAUUCCAAGGUCAUUAUGAGCAAUCAGUGGCCAGUAGGAGACAUAUAAAACUGCAAGGACAGAGCUGUGUAGGAGCCUGCUCAGCAAGGCAAAGCGUGUGAGUUUGCACCAGGACUCAGCUUUCCUGGGUCCCUCAGCAGCAAGAAAUG